AAUGGACGAAAGUCUGACGGAGCGACGCCGCGUGGAUGAAGAAGGCCGGAAGGUUGUAAAAUCCUUUUGCUGAUGAAGAAUAAGUGUGGUAGGGAAUGACCGCAUGAUGACAUUAGUCGGUGAAUAAGCCCCGGCUAACUACGUGCCAGCAGCCGCGGUAACACGUAGGGGGCAAGCGUUGUUCGGAAUUAUUGGGCGUAAAGGGCAUGUAGGCGGUUUCGUAAGCCUGGUGUGAAAUCCUGCAGCUUAACUGCAGAAUUGCAUUGGGUACUGCGAGACUUGAAUCACAGAGGGGAAACUAGAAUUCCAGGUGUAGGGGUGGAAUCUGUAGAUAUCUGGAAGAAUACCGGUGGCGAAGGCGGGUUUCUAGCUGAUGAUUGACGCUGAGGUGCGAAAGUGCGGGGAGCAAA
rnacentral:rRNA from 1 species